ACAGACGGACGUGAGCUUCGCCCACCCCCAGAGGACAGCGCCCAUGCCCGAGCCCCUGCAUCUGCCAGAUCACCUGCCCCCCGGCUCUGGUGAGAGAUUCUAUUGUGCCCAACACUCAGUCAACA